rnacentral:rRNA from 1 species
GUGCCAGCCGCUGCGGUAAUACGGAGGGUGCAAGCGUUGUCCGGAAUCACUGGGCGUAAAGGGUACGCAGGCGGGGCAGCAAGUCGGAGGUGAAAGCCCAUGGCCCAACCAUGGAAGUGCCUUCGAAACUGUUGCUCUUGAGUCCCGGAGAGGCUGUCGGAAUUCGUGGUGUAGCGGUGAAAUGCGUAGAUAUCACGAGGAACACCAGAGGCGAAAGCGGGCAACUGGACGGGUACUGACACUGAGGCACGAAAGCGUGGGGAGCAAACAGGAUUAGAAACCCUGGUAGUCC